rnacentral:rRNA from 1 species
UCCUACGGGAGGCAGCAGUGGGGAAUAUUGGACAAUGGGCGAAAGCCUGAUCCAGCAAUGCCGCGUGAGUGAUGAAGGCCUUAGGGUUGUAAAGCUCUUGUACCAGGGAUGAUAAUGACAGUACCUGGAGAAUAAGCUCCGGCUAACUCCGUGCCAGCAGCCGCGGUAACACGGAGGGUGCGAGCGUUAAUCGGAAUUACUGGGCGUAAAGCGCAUGCAGGUGGUUAGUUAAGUCAGAUGUGAAAGCCCGGGGCUCAACCUCGGAACUGCAUUUGAAACUGGCUGACUAGAGUACUGUAGAGGGGGGUAGAAUUUCAGGUGUAGCGGUGAAAUGCGUAGAGAUCUGAAGGAAUACCGGUGGCGAAGGCGGCCCCCUGGACAGAUACUGACACUCAGAUGCGAAAGCGUGGGGAGCAAACAGGAUUAGAUACCCUGGUAGUCCACGCCGUAAACGAUGUCUACUUGGAGGUUGUGGCCUUGAGCCGUGGCUUUCGGAGCUAACGCGUUAAGUAGACCGCCUGGGGAGUACGGUCGCAAGAUUAAAACUCAAAUGAAUUGACGG